rnacentral:rRNA from 1 species
GACGAACCGUCCGAACGUUAUUCGGAAUUAUUGGGCUUAAAGGGUGCGUAGGCGGCGCUGUAAGUCGGGUGUGAAAUCCCACGGCUCAACCGUGGAACUGCGCCCGAUACUGCAGUGCUCGAGGGAGACAGAGGUAAGCGGAACUGAUGGUGGAGCGGUGAAAUGCGUUGAUAUCAUCAGGAACACCGGUGGCGAAAGCGGCUUACUGGGUCUCUUCUGACGCUGAGGCACGAAAGCUAGGGUAGCGAACGGGAUUAGAAACCCCAGUAGUCC